GGUGAGCCACCUCUGGCAGCAGUUCCCACAUCAAGGCAGAUGGGCCCCGGAGGCAGGCCGAGACGACCAAUCCCAGUGACAUACUUUUAUGUUGACCAGUCUCUGGUGAUUCUCCCCGUAACAGUUUGUAAAGCACGUCUGGGCCAAGUUCAGCUUUUUCUCUGCAUCAUCAAGGCACUCCAGCUGUUCCAGGCGGAAGUAGCACCACACGAUGUCCAGCUGGAGGACUGCAUAGUUGUCCACAGUGUCCAGCAGCUCUUUGCACUCACUACAAGAGGAGGAAGCUGUCAUGGCAGAGCCCUUCAGCUCUCAGGGGUCCCUGGAAAGCCUUUUAGUUCUUGGUGUGUCUCUAGAAUUAACUAAUGGGGCCUUUAUUUACAAUAUGGGUCCUCUGAGUGGACAAAGAGGAAUAAGGGGUCUUGACAGCAGCAUGGUGGCCUCUGGCCCAGGACAGAGUGGCUUCCAGUCCUGGCUGUGACUUACAAUCCCCAAGACACGGGAGUCUUUCUUUGGGGAGACUGAUGCUGAAGGCCUAAUCAGGACAAGAGUGACAAAGCUCUCCACGACAGGAGCUGGAUGUCCUAUUGCUAAAAUCUCCCUAGGUGACUAACAUGGCUGUAAAGACACCCCGAAACCUGCAACUU
rnacentral:lncRNA from 1 species